UAAAUUUUUGGUACAUCUAAAUGUCUAUUUUGCAAAUAGUGGUAUUAUUAAAUAAAAAUAUGUACACUAAUAUCUUUUUUAGAUAACAUUUAGCAUUGGGAUUUAUGCUGGUAUAUAUAUAAGUCAAAACUAUGAGAUACCUCGUAUAGAUGAGCCUACUAAGAUAAUAGAACGAAUAAAGGAAAUUACAGAUGAAUAUAAAAAAAAAUAAUUAAUAAUGAUUUAUCUAAUAAUACUAUUAUUACGUUUGUGGAAUAUGUUUUAAUCCAUUUUAUUGUACAUAUACGUUUAUAUAUAUAAACAUGUAAUACAAUUUGAUUUGGUUUGAUUUUAAUAAAACAUUUUAUGUAA